GGGGGCGACAUGGUUUCGACGCCGGUGACAAACCCUGCGGUGCAUGCCGAGAGCGUGAUGUAUCUCGUAAAUACCACAUCACGAAAAAUAGUCGCAAACGACGAAAACUACG
rnacentral:tmRNA from 1 species